GUGCAGAUGUGAAUGCAAUAUUCCCAAUGUACUUUUCCUUGCGGACCUCCCCACUUCAUCCUUGCCUUCAUCCUUUAAAUGCCAUAGAACGUGCUUCAGAAUGACUCACUCCUGAAGAGGAACAGAGCCAUUUUAUUCUCCAAAGUGCACAGUCUUUCAUCAAAUAUUGUUUCAGCUGACACGACAGCUCCCGCAACAAUCCAGACCAGGAACAGUUUCUGAGCCUCUUUGGGUCUCUAUUACCACAUCUGCGAACUGAGGGAAAUAAUAGUACUUACCUCGGGGGAGCGGAUGAGCAGUAAAUAAGUGGACACUUGUAAAGAAUCUAGAAGAGUGGGUGGCAUAUAGCAAGUGCUCAAAAAUUGUUUAUUCAAUAAAGGCAAAGGUUGGCAGCCACCUAGGAAGUAAUGAGCUAUGUAGCCAUUUAGACAUAAAAUAGGUUAAACAUCAUAUGCCUUUGACCAACAUUAGCCAGCUUGGAGGAGGAAUGAAAAGUUCAUAUCCAAUUAAUGCUGCAGAUUUCCCAGCCCCCGCCAGUUCUAGAAAGUUGAGAACCCACAACUUGCAAAGACAUCCUGGCUGAUCUCCAGUUGAGAUGACACUUCCAGAGAGGAGAAGGCUGUCAGGUCUUCGUUUAAGCCAAGUCAGAUCAGCACAUAUUUGCCCGCUGUCUGGAGGAGUGGAAAACUCCACACUGUCACUUCGAGCACUCCAGGGAUCACAUCUGUCAGGAUGGAAUUGCUCAUCCCACACUCUGUGGACAAGGACUUGGCGUCCAAGUCUGACAUGUGACCAACACUCCAUUUGGGAUAGUGGUCACAGCAAACCCUUCUGAAAGGGAAUUUGUGCCUUUCGUUGUGCCAGCACAUGGUGAGGAGGGCUGUCCCUUAAAUCUUGGCUCCUGGAGAACAAUGGG
rnacentral:lncRNA from 10 species